rfam:Aedes albopictus isolate Foshan contig36325, whole genome shotgun sequence.
CUCCAGUUAGCCAAGUGGUUAAGGCUAUGAAUCGCUAAUCCGGAGACGGCGGGUUCGAUUCCCGUUCCGGGAA